rnacentral:lncRNA from 10 species
ACUUACUUGCUGUGCUUCUCUGAGUGCCUCGUGGCCUCUUUAUCACCACCUGUUGAAGGAAAUGUUAGAUCCAGAUAUGGAUGGAAGGCCUUCUCCUUAUUGUCUCUGUGCAAAACUGGGGGGAAGCUGGACCUUGUACGUGGUGACUCAGAGCUCUGAGAGCAAGUGACCUAGCCUGGAAGUCACAUAGCAUCAUAUCUGCUAUAAUCUAUUUUUCAAAACUGUCACAAUGCCUAUCAAAAUACCAAUGACAUUCUUUACAGAAAUAGGAAAAACAAUCCUAAAAUCUCUGUGGAAUUACAAAAGAUAGAGCCAAGAAAUCCUGAGGGAAAAGAACAAAGUUGCAGGUAUCACAUUAGCACGCCUCAAAAUAUACCAUAAAGCUGUAGUAACCAAAACAGCAUGUUACUGGAAUAAACACAAACACAUAGACCAAUGGAACAGAAUAGAGAACCCAGAAAUUAACCUACAUAUCUGCAGCCAACUGAUUUUUGACAAAGGUGCCGAGAACAAUCAUUGGGGAAAGGACACCCUCUUCAGUAAAUGAUGCUGGGAAAACUGGAUAGUCAUACUCAAAAGAAUAAACCUAGACCCCCACCUCUUGCCCUAUACAAAAAUUAACCGAAAAUGCAUCUAAACCUAACUGUAAGACGAAAGACUAUAAAACUACUAAAAGAAAACAUAAGGGAAAUGCUUCAGAACAUUGGUUUGAGAAAGGAUUUUAUGAAUAAGACCUCAAAGGCACUAACAACAAAAGCAACAAUAAACAAAUGGGAGUAUAUGAAACUAAAAUGUUUCCAUAUAGCCAAGGAAACAAUCGACAGAGUGAAUAGACAACCUACAGAAUGGGAGAAAAUAUUUGCAAACUACUCAUCCAAUGGGGGAUUCACAUCCAGAAUGUAUGAGGAACUCAAACAUCUCAACAGCAAAAAACAAUCCAAUUUAACAAUGAGCAAAUGAUCUGAACAGACAUUUCUCAAAAGAAGAUACACAUAAGGCAAAGAAAUAUAUGAAAGUGCUCGGCAUCAAUAAUCGUCAAGGAAAUGCAAAUCAAAACCACAAUGAAGUAUCAUCUCAUUCCAGUUAGUAUGGCUAUUAUAAAAAAGAUAAAAAAUAACAGAUGCUGGCGA